AUUGAACGCUGGCGGCAUGCUUUACACAUGCAAGUCGAACGGUAACAGGCCGCAAGGUGCUGACGAGUGGCGAACGGGUGAGUAAUGCAUCGGAACGUGCCCAGUCGUGGGGGAUAACGCAGCGAAAGCUGUGCUAAUACCGCAUACGACCUAUGGAUGAAAGCGGGGGAACGUAAGGCCUCGCGCGAUUGGAGCGGCCGAUGUCAGAUUAGGUAGUUGGUGGGGUAAAGGCUCACCAAGCCAACGAUCUGUAGCUGGUCUGAGAGGACGACCAGCCACACUGGGACUGAGACACGGCCCAGACUCCUACGGGAGGCAGCAGUGGGGAAUUUUGGACAAUGGGCGCAAGCCUGAUCCAGCCAUGCCGCGUGCGGGAAGAAGGCCUUCGGGUUGUAAACCGCUUUUGGCAGGAACGAAACGGCGCAAGCCAAUACCUUGCGCUAAUGACGGUACCUGCAGAAUAAGCACCGGCUAACUUCGUGCCAGCCGCCGCUGUAAUAC
rnacentral:rRNA from 1 species